AACUGAUCGGGGACUGUACCUGUCUGAUGAGCCCCAAAAAGGGCGAAAUCGGUC
rnacentral:hammerhead_ribozyme from 11 species